rnacentral:rRNA from 1 species
UAGGGAAUCUUCGGCAAUGGACGGAAGUCUGACCGAGCAACGCCGCGUGAGUGAAGAAGGUUUUCGGAUCGUAAAGCUCUGUUGUAAGAGAAGAACGAGUGUGAGAGUGGAAAGUUCACACUGUGACGGUAUCUUACCAGAAAGGGACGGCUAACUACGUGCCAGCAGCCGCGGUAAUACGUAGGUCCCGAGCGUUGUCCGGAUUUAUUGGGCGUGAAGCGAGCGCAGGCGGUUAGAUAAGUCUGAAGUUAAAGGCUGUGGCUUAACCAUAGUACGCUUUGGAAACUGUUUAACUUGAGUGCAAGAGGGGAGAGUGGAAUUCCAUGUGUAGCGGUGAAAUGCGUAGAUAUAUGGAGGAACACCGGUGGCGAAAGCGGCUCUCUGGCUUGUAACUGACGCUGAGGCUCGAAAGCGUGGGGAGCAAACAGGAUUAGAUACCCUGGUAGUCCACGCCGUAAACGAUGAGUGCUAGGUGUUAGACCCUUUCCGGGGUUUAGUGCCGUAGCUAACGCAUUAAGCACUCCGCCUGGGGAGUACGACCGCAAGGUUG